UGGGGAAUAUUGCACAAUGGAGGGAACUCUGAUGCAGCGACGCCGCGUGAACGAAGAAGGCUUUCGAGUCGUAAAGUUCUUUUAUAUGGGAAGAUAAUGACGGUACCAUAAGAAAAAGCCCCGGCUAACUACGUGCCAGCAGCCGCGGUAAUACGUAGGGGGCUAGCGUUGUCCGGAAUCACUGGGCGUAAAGGGUUCGCAGGCGGAAAUGCAAGUCAGGUGUAAAAGGCAGUAGCUUAACUACUGUAAGCAUUUGAAACUGCAUAUCUUGAGAAGAGUAGAGGUAAGUGGAAUUUUUAGUGUAGCGGCGAAAUGCGUAGAUAUUAAAAAGAAUACCGGUGGCGAAGGCGACUUACUGGGCUCAUUCUGACGCUGAGGAACGAAAGCGUGGGUAGCAAACAGG
rnacentral:rRNA from 2 species